AGCGGAGGAAAAGAAACUAACUAGGAUGCCCUUAGUAACGGCGAGCGAACCGGGCAGAGCCCAACUUGAAAAUCUCCAGCCUCCGGCUGGCGAAUUGUAGUCUAUAGAAGUGCUCUCUGCGCCAGUCUGGCCCCAAGUCCCCUGGAAAGGGGCGUCAGAGAGGGUGAGAACCCCGUUGGGACCGGUGCCUGGUGCUCCACGAGACGCUUUCGAAGAGUCGGGUUGUUUGGGAAUGCAGCCCAAAGCAGGUGGUAAAUCCCAUCUAAGGCUAAAUACAGACGGGAGACCGAUAGCGAACAAGUACCGCGAGGGAAAGAUGAAAAGAACUUUGAAAAGAGAGUUAAAAAGUACUUGAAAUUGUUGAGAGGGAAGUGAUUGGAUCCUACGGGUGCGCCCAGGCACACGCCCGCCUAACGGUUGGCUGAAUGCGCUGGGUGCUGGUCAGCAUGGGUUGUCCGGGCGGGACAAACCCGGGGGUUGUUACCCCGGCUAUGUCGCCUGGCCGACCGAGGAAUGAAGGGCGCUCUCUGAGUCCUCCGGGAACUGCGUCCUCAAGAUGCUGGCGGAAAGGUUCUAAUCAGCCCGUCUUGAAACACGGACCAAGGAGUCUAACAUGCAUGCGAGCUGGUGGGUGGUAAACCCAUGAAGCGCAAGUAACCUGACUGGUGGGAUGGCCUGUGCCUGCACCAUCGACCCCGCUUGAGGUUUUCCGAAGGCUGGGAGUACGAGCAUGCCUGUUGGGACCCGAAAGAUGGUGAACUAUGCCUGAGCAGGGCGAAGCCAGAGGAAACUCUGGUGGAGGCUCGUAGAUGUGCUGACGUGCAAAUCGCUUUUCGGACUUGGGUAUAGGGGCGAAAGACUAAUCGAACCUUCUAGUA
rnacentral:rRNA from 1 species